GACGAACGCUGGCGGCGUGCUUAACACAUGCAAGUCGAACGGAAAGGUCCUGCUUUUGUGGGGUGCUCGAGUGGCGAACGGGUGAGUAACACGUGAGUAACCUGCCCUUGACUUUGGGAUAACUUCAGGAAACUGGGGCUCAUACCGGAUAGGAGCUCCUGCUGCAUGGUGGGGGUUGGAAAGUUUCGGCGGUUGGGGAUGGACUCGCGGCUUAUCAGCUUGUUGGUGGGGUAGUGGCUUACCAAGGCUUUGACGGGUAGCCGGCCUGAGAGGGUGACCGGCCACAUUGGGACUGAGAUACGGCCCAGACUCCUACGGGAGGCAGCAGUGGGGAAUAUUGCACAAUGGGCGGAAGCCUGAUGCAGCAACGCCGCGUGCGGGAUGACGGCCUUCGGGUUGUAAACCGCUUUCGCCUGUGACGAAGCGUGAGUGACGGUAAUGGGUAAAGAAGCACCGGCUAACUACGUG
rnacentral:rRNA from 1 species